GGGGAAUAUUGCGCAAUGGGGGAAACCCUGACGCAGCAAUACCGCGUGAGUAAAGAAGGUUUUCGGAUCGUAAAGCUCUGUUAUUGGUGAAGAAAAAAAGACGGUACCCAAGAAGAAAGCCCCGGCUAACUACGUGCCAGCAGCCGCGGUAAUACGUAGGGGACAAGCGUUGUCCGGAUUUACUGGGCGUAAAGGGCACGCAGGCGGUUUUUUAAGUCAGAUGUGAAAGGUACCGGCUCAACCGGUGACAUGCAUUUGAAACUGAAAGACUAGAGUAUGGGGGAGGCCAGUGGAAUUCCUCGUGUAGUGGUCGAAGGCCUUGAGAUUAGGAGGAUCGGCGAUGGCGAAGACUGCAUGCUGGACAAAUACUGACGCUGAGGUGCGAAAGCGUUGGGAGCAAACA
rnacentral:rRNA from 1 species